rnacentral:rRNA from 1 species
AGCGAACGCUGGCGGCGUACCUAACACAUGCAAGUCGAACGGGGAUCAUCGGGUUAGCAAUAAUUCGGCGGUCCUAGUGGCGCACGGGUGAGUAACACGUGGGUAACCUGCCCUCGAGACCGGGAUACCCCCUCGAAAGGGGGGCUAAUACCGGAUACGUUCCCCGGGUCGACAGACCUGGGGAGGAAAGGUGGCGCAAGCUGCCGCUCCUGGAGGGGCCCGCGGCCUAUCAGCUAGGUGGCGGGGUAACGGCCCACCAAGGCUAUGACGGGUAGCUGGUCUGAGAGGACGACCAGCCACACGGGGACUGAGACACGGCCCCGACUCCUACGGGAGGCAGCAGUGGGGAAUUUUCCGCAAUGGGCGAAAGCCUGACGGAGUGACGCCGCGUGUGGGACGAAGGCCUUCGGGUCGUAAACCACUGUCAGUGGGAAAGAGGGGUGUCGGCGCGAUAACCGCCGGCAUCUGACGGUACCUGCAGAGGAAGCCCCGGCUAACUC